CGUUUAGUAAUAAAUUUGUCGCAUAAGCCAUCCAUUAGUCAAUAAGUGAGCAUUAUACUGAACCGUUGAACGAGAGCGCAAGCCGUCACGCGCCCAAUCAGUUGAGCACCUCUGCCUGAAAGCUUUCAUCAGCCCAGCCAUCCUACGCACCCAACGAUUAGAUGCAGAAAAUUACCACGCACGAAUACCACUGAUAUUCGAUACUGGAACGUGUGCGAUCGCGACGGCGAACGAGAGUCAGCUUUGGUAAACCCAUACCAAAGAAAAGUGGUGUUCAACAUCGUCGUUCAACAUCCAUCAAGACACCAUAUCAGCCCGCACAAAUCGCAGCUCCGAGUGGUGGUAACAAUAACUCACACCACUUCAAGCUGUCGGGGGAAAAACGAUCGAGCAAACGGAGCCUCCACAUUGUGCUGGAGUUCGAUCUGGGGAGCAGUCGCGCAUCUGCGAGCAAAAGUAAUUUAGCCGGACGACAAUUAGAAGCACGUUUCCUGCAUUGAUCGGGUGCAAUUAAGAUUCAGUAGUCGCGAGUGGAAAAAGUGUGACGCUGAUACAGGACCCCGCAGGAAGAACCCACUUGAAAACUCCAUCGAAAGCAAGAACCGGAUCAAUUGUUGUUCGCUCGGUUGAUUCCGCGAGAUCGUGAUCUUCGACCAGGGCAAAGCGUGGAGCGUCGCAUCGACCCGGAAUUCCGAUAGCUGGCUGUAGUCGGUCGGCAUCGUGGUUGCUGAAAAGCAGUGAUAGCUGACUGGCCGGUGCGACAGUUACCAUCCGUCGAGAAAGGGCAACCAUCCGACACGCCGUAGUAGAAGAAACGCAAAAGGCCCCGCAAGGGGUUCUUUUUUCCCGUUUUUCUUAUUGGAUUUUCGGCAUUCUAUCAGUCGGACCGUAGACUGGCGUGACAUCGAUCCACGAUCGGCGAAGGACGAUUCUUCAACCAAAGCAAAUCCCCAGCGGGACCGUUCAGAGUCCGGUGACGGCGAGGGAGUGAACCCGACCGAAGAGAGGACGACUAUAUCGGUCACGUGAGUUUCUCCUCACGACGGGAGGUUGAAUCCGAUGGUGCUUUGUGGUGGUGCAGGGCAGGCCGCGAGCGGUCAAAAGCGGAUGGGCUGGCAACUCGCCGUGCCAAGCGAACGGGCCGACCUGGUGGCGACGGAUUGAGGCGGUACCGUGAGUACCUAAUUCUAGUUUAAGACAUGACUGCAAGACCAUUAGCAUAAGAUUUAGCGAGGAGUAGGGUUCAGGUAGGCCGAAGAAAGAUGGCAAAUACAUGUAAUUAAAAUGUUAAUUUUGGCUUUGUGAUUUCGUUGGUGUCUUGGCCCUUUUGGUGUCUGCUUUGUGUUUCGCUUCGGUAGUUUUUGCUCUGCCCCUACCGGGAAACUU